UGAGUUGCGAACGGGUGAGUAACGCGUAGGUAACCUGCCUUGUAGCGGGGGAUAACUAUUGGAAACGAUAGCUAAUACCGCAUAACAAUGGAUGACACAUGUCAUUUAUUUGAAAGGGGCAAUUGCUCCACUACAAGAUGGACCUGCGUUGUAUUAGCUAGUAGGUGAGGUAACGGCUCACCUAGGCGACGAUACAUAGCCGACCUGAGAGGGUGAUCGGCCACACUGGGACUGAGACACGGCCCAGACUCCUACGGGAGGCAGCAGUAGGGAAUCUUCGGCAAUGGGGGCAACCCUGACCGAGCAACGCCGCGUGAGUGAAGAAGGUUUUCGGAUCGUAAAGCUCUGUUGUAAGUCAAGAACGAGUGUGAGAGUGGAAAGUUCACACUGUGACGGUAGCUUACCAGAAAGGGACGGCUAACUACGUGCCAGCAGCCGCGGUAAUACGUAGGUCCCGAGCGUUGUCCGGAUUUAUUGGGCGUAAAGCGAGCGCAGGCGGUUUGAUAAGUCUGAAGUUAAAGGCUGUGGCUCAACCAUAGUUCGCUUUGGAAACUGUCAAACUUGAGUGCAGAAGGGGAGAGUGGAAUUCCAUGUGUAGCGGUGAAAUGCGUAGAUAUAUGGAGGAACACCGGUGGCGAAAGCGGCUCUCUGGUCUGUAACUGACGCUGAGGCUCGAAAGCGUGGGGAGCGAACAGG
rnacentral:rRNA from 1 species